UACGGAGGGUCCGAGCGUUAUCCGGAAUUAUUGGGUUUAAAGGGUCCGUAGGCGGGUCAUUAAGUCAGAGGUGAAAGUUUGCAGCUCAACUGUAAAAUUGCCUUUGAUACUGGUGGUCUUGAGUUAUGGUGAAGUGGCUGGAAUAUGUAGUGUAGCGGUGAAAUGCAUAGAUAUUACAUAGAACACCGAUUGCGAAGGCAGGUCACUAACCAUAUACUGACGCUGAUGGACGAAAGCGUGGGGAGCGAAC
rnacentral:rRNA from 1 species